rnacentral:rRNA from 1 species
UACGUAGGGGGCUAGCGUUGUCCGGAAUCAUUGGGCGUAAAGCGCGUGUAGGCGGUCCGGUAAGUCCGCUGUGAAAGUCGGGGGCUCAACCCUCGAAUGCCGGUGGAUACUGUCGGGCUCGAGUCCGGAAGAGGCGAGUGGAAUUCCUGGUGUAGCGGUGAAAUGCGCAGAUAUCAGGAGGAACACCAAUGGCGAAGGCAGCUCGCUGGGACGUGACUGACGCUGAGACGCGAAAGCGUGGGGAGCAAACAGG